UCAUACAGGUUAACAGACAUUAUCCUUUUUAGUGUUUUAAUUUGAAAAUUGUAUUGUAAUUAUUAGUUACAUUCAUUAACUGUCACUUUGACAAAUAUAUUAGGUAAUUGUAAACAAAAUCAAUUAUUAUGAAUAUAACUCAAAUUGAAAAGACAAGAGACAUUUUACAUAUGUAGAAUAAAGUAAUGCAAAAUUAAUUGACUGUCUGGUGUCAGGCCUUGGCACUCAAUGAAAACAGCCUCUAUGUAUGUCCACUUCAAUGUCCAGUUCACACAAUUACCAGAUACCAGUGACUUCAGCUUUCACAUCCAAUCUGAAACAGACAGUUACUUUACAUGAUAAUAAAUAUAUGUGGAAACAUCACAAAAACAAAUCAAAGCCAUUGCCAUCAUGACACUGGUAAUGAAGACAUGUAUGAUUUCUUUUCCCAAUUUAAAAAUAAUAUUCUUGGAGUAGCUGAUGGCCUAUGUCCAAAAAGACUGUGCCAUCAGAACAAUGCUUUAAGGUUUAUGCACUGUCUAAUUGAUUACAAAUUAUAAUGAUUACAAUAUUAACAUUUUAACUGCAAAAAAAGAAAAAAACAACAACAAAAAAAAAAAGUUAUGAAUGACACAACACACCAGUCUAGUUUUUAUACAUUUUAUUUUGCCACGGAUACAUUUAUAGAGGUUUGUUUUAUGUCUAGUCAACAUUUGAAGUGGAUCAAAAACUUUCAUCAAAGUUUUUCUUAAAAACCAAAACAAUUCUUGUUAUAGGACAACUUUGAUGAACUUUUUUUUUUUUAAUCCACUUCAAAUGCACUGUAUACAGUACUGCAGUAAUAGUCACCAAUUACAACUAUUAUAGGCUAAUCAAAUAUUCAAGCAAAAAUCAAAGCACCACAAAUAUUCAAGCAAAAAUCAAAGCACCACAAAUAUUCAAGCAAAAAUCAAAGCACCACAAAUAUUCAAGCAAAAAUCAAAGCACCACAAAUUAAGUAUACAAAGUUAAACACAUUGAAGAGACACAAUUUUAACAGAGCUUAUAGGUUAUUCGCUUACUGUUUGCGUUGCUUCGUGUCUGUAAUUAAGCAAAUCAAGCAAAACAGCUUAUAGACGAUUUAUCAUAUCACACAAACUAUGCAUUGUUUUGACACUGUUGCAGUUAAUGCUUUAAUGCGUAACACUGAAACGUUGUCAGCUUUUCCAAAUAAUCCAUUAAACAAGCAGCGAUUAGAGGAGCGUGCACUAAUAUUUUCAGUUCCGUUAGUUUGCGCGUUGUCUCAACGACACGCCCACAAAAGUGGAAACUCAUCAACAUUCACUCUUGCGCCACCCAUUGGAACCAAAUAUAUUUGUAACACCGCUUCGCAAAUUGCGUUUUUUUAAUGAAUGUAGUGAGUCAUUGAAUGAAUCAACUGUUUGAACGAAUCAUUAAACGAAUAAUUUGACAAAGACUGCCAUCUACUGACAGUUUUAGUUUCAUUUUUUAAAAAAAUAAUUGUAGUUAUUUAAAUCAUUAAGUAUUUCUUUAUUCAAAACUGAACUGACCUGAACAUUAGCUCCAAAACAUGCCUUGCUGUAUCUUGAGCUUGGCGGGCAGCAUCCGAUAUAGCAGUAGUUGGGGUGUUUUGUCCAGCGACAGCGAUUUUUUGAAUGGCACCGCAAUGGAGUUUAGACUCGAUCACCUUCCUCAAUGUAAUGCAGCCACCUCCAUUUAUUGAACCAGUUUGUAUUAAAUGAACUACACUUGAUUAAAGAAAAUGUGUCUUUUUCCGAACUGCCUUCCAGGAAAUCUGAAGUUGGCUUGUUGGUGUGGAUUGCCUCGGCCAAAUCGAUAAUGCUAGUACUGAUACUGCUGCGGAGGCGGAGGCAGCGACGUUCAUGUUACCUUGAAUUAACGCGGCUUCUGAGCCCAGAUCCGGUGCUGAUGUGGUGGACGCUUUGGAGGAGCUGUUGUAGCUGCUGCUGGUUGGCUGCCCACUAGGCAUAAGCUCCAGUGAUUACAGUGAUGAUUAACUGAAGUCACGACACAACAUAGCACUGAAGACUCAGUGAUAGCAGGAAUAUAAGACAUCAUCAUUCAGAGAAAUGUUUUUCUUGAGGAUCCAGAUUCAGAACACAACAUUUUCCCAGAGGAAUCAAUUACAAGAAGCUUCUCUCUCAUCUUUAUGUGAGUUUCUCCAGCUUUCUCUGUGUAUUUGCAGUGGUGAUAAAUAAAGGUAAGCACAAAACAACCUACAUUUAAAGGAUCAUUCAAUACCACAGUGUGUUGUGUGUUCACAGUAAAAGUUUGUGUCAUUUCAGUGUGUCUGCAGGUCACAGUAGAGGGUGUUAUUGGUGGUUCUGUUGUCAUAUUUCCCUGGAGAAAAAAAUAUUUUCCAGCAACAAUGUUAACACAUAAGUGUUCAGAUCAGCAGCAGGAGCAGCACAUCAUACAUAAUCACAUUCUGUGUUGUAGAUAUUCUGGCUAAAAGAAAACAAUGUGCACUGCUUGUUAUCGUAUUACAGCAUAAAAUUCUGAAACAGUUACUGUAACUGUAUUACUGUGUUAUUGCUGUGUUACUAUAUUAGGCAACAUUAGUUAACAUGAACCAAGAAAUGACAAUACUUCUACACAACUAACAUUUCAAGAUUCAGUAGAAAGUCAGGAGUAAGAGAUCAAACAUUUCCUCUAGAGCAAAUAGUCAAUUGUUGAUAGUCGACUGCACUAAUAUGCUUUAAAAAGACAACAGUAUCAGGUGCGCAUGUCUGAUAAUUUCACAUCGUCGGAUGUCAUCGAGAAGCACAAGGAAUAUUUUACGCUACUGUGAACUUCAAACUGAACAUUUGUUUCGUUUAGUAAUGUAAAUAAACAAAAAGCGUCUUGAAAAACAGUCUGUAAUACGAUUUCUGAUAUCUCUACAUUAUACAUUAUUAAAGAACAGUUGGAUGUCAUAUAAUCUUGCUGUGAAAAGAGCAACAAUUCAAAUGAAAAUGCUACAAAAAAAAUCUAAAAAAAUCUCUCUCUAUACAGUGCCUUGCGAAAGUAUUCAAACACCUUCAUUUUUACUGUUUUAUGUUGCAGCCUUAUGUUAAACUGCUUGAAAUUACUUUUUUCUCCACGUUAAUCUACACUCCAUACACCAUAAUGACAAAGCAAAAAAUGAUUUGUGACAACUUUGUAAAUUUAUUAAAAAUAAAAAUAAGUGCAUUGCAUAAGUAUUCAGUAAGUAAUGUGGUACUUAGGUGAAGCACCUUCACAGCCUCAAGUCUCAAGUCAGUUAAACAUAAGGCUGCAACAUAACAAAACAUGAACAAAUGAAGGGGUUUGCAAGGCACUGUAUAUAUAUAUAUAUAGAUAAAUUUGGAUAGAUAUAUAAAUACUUACACAGAGAGAGAGAGAGACUCAAAUGCUGGAAACUAGUUUAUUAGAUAUUAAAGAUGUAACUUAUGACUAGGCUGUCAGUCUGUGUGUUACAGUGGGGAAUUUUCAAUGAUUUCAUUGCAGGUUACAGCAUUACAUCCUAUGCCAGUAGGUGGCGGUAGGGGGUUGUCUUUAUGAGUGUCAGACAGUCUCUGAUAAAAGAUCAUGUGAAAUCUAAAAGUCUGCAUGAAACUGCUAGUGAUAGUCUUCCUUACUAUGAUGUGUAGUGAAAUGGCUGCUUGAACUGAAGAAGAAAAAAAAAUAUUGGGCUUUUUUUAUUAUUAUUUUGUCCAUCGAGUGUUGAUUUGAUCACUGUGGCUGUGAUGCUUUUAUUUCAUGCGAGGUUGUCUCACCCUUGCACCAGUAACACGUCCUUAGAGAAAAGAUGUUGUUGCAAGAGGGAGAAGUUGCACUGAUCAGCCACAACAUUAAAUCCACUAACAGGUGAAGUGAAUAACUUUUAUUACAUUGUAACAAAGGAAGCUUGGUGCGAGAUACAGUAUUACAUAGCAAACGAACAUUCAGUUCUUUAAUUUCAUGUGUUUUGAAAGCAGGAAAAAUGGGCAUUCGAAAAGAUCUAAGUUACUUUGACAAGAGCUAAAUAGUGAUGGCUACACAAACGGGUCAAAACAUCAAGUCAAAGCCCAUCAAGUCCGUCUGAUCUGAUCACACAGAAGAGCUACUGUAGCUCAAACUGCUGAAAAACCUAAUGCUGGCCAACACAGAAAAGUGUGAGAACAAAACACACUGUCACAGACGUGGCCUCUGUGGCUCCCUCUAACCGCCGCCAGCGGGAACCCUCACCGGACUUUUAGUACACUAAGUUUCCCAUCACCCCGUACCUGGGUCGCCCACUUCCGGUUCCGGGUCGGCCGGGUUCACUUCCCGCCAGUGGCCAUUUUUUAGGAGCACUCGACCAGCGUUUCCCCGCGAAGUUUUGCUAGCAAUCCUGAGCGUUCUUUUCAUGGACUGCCUUCUCGUGGCCAACCGGAGUGUUUAUUGUGUGUGUGAACCUUUGCUGCCUGCCUUUUGUCGUCCUACGUCUGUUUAUCGGAUUAACCCCUUUGAUCGCCGCCUGCCCCGACCUUUUGCAUGGACUGUCGUUACCCCUUUUGGUUUGUCUUCACCACACCAGUCUGCCGUUGUUGAACCACGCCUGUUUACUUUGUCUUCUUUAAUAAAGUUGUUGCAAAUGGAGGUGAGGUGGGUGGGCGGGGUGGUCAGGUGGGGCAGUUGGCCCUGAUGUGACCUCUGAGGCCGCAAUAAAGGCACAGGUUGCCUCGCAGCCGUCUCUCCCUCUCCCCAAACUACCCACCGCCAUGGAGACGGAAGAGGCGCUGUGCGAAUCGGUGUUCAGAUUCUACAGAUUACCAGAAGACAUCGUGUCAGAUCGUGGGCCCCAGUACACAUCUCGACUGUGGGCGAGCUUCUUCCGUCUCCUUGGCGUCAAUAUCAGUCUCACUUCGGGAUACCAUCCACAGUCCAAUGGCCAGGCUGAGAGGCUAAAUCAGGAGUUGACCCUCUUACUACGCUCCUACUGCCAGGACCGCCAGGGGGACUGGAGCCGCUUCCUAUUCUGGGCCGAGUACGCCCAAAAUUCUUUACGCAAACCCACCACCAAUCUCACGCCAUUUCAAUGCAUCCUGGGCUACCAGCCACCCUUGUUCCCCUGGUCCGGGGAACCCUCGGAUCUACCUGCGGUCAACUCCUGGUUCCAGCAGAGCGAGGAAACGUGGAACCGGGCCCAUGUCUAUCUCUAGAGGGCGGUUCGUCGCAUCCGCAUCCAGGCCGAUCGCAGACGUCGACCUAACCCACCCUACGAACCCGGACAAUGGGUCUGGCUCUCGACCCGGGACCUACGCCUGCACUUACCCUGCAAAAAGCUCAGCCCUAGGCCGCUGGUGACCCGGGAGGAGUGGAGAACCUAGAUGAGGCCGCCCCGCAGGGACCACCCCCCCGAUCAUCGAUGGUGAGGAGGUCUAUCGAGUCGACUCUAUUCUGGAUUCCCGACGCCAGAGAGGCCACCUCCAGUAUUUGAUUGACUGGGAAGGCUUCGGCCCCGAGGAGAGGUCUUGGGUGUCAGCUGAGGACAUCCUUGAUCCCUCUCUCACCACCGACUUCCACUCUUCUCAUCCGGAUCGACCAGCUCCUCGUAGGAGAGGUAGGCCCCGGCGUCGGUCGCCUCCUCGCGCCAGGAGGCGCUCGCGGCGGGGGGGCUCUGUCACAGACAUGGCCUCUGUGGCUCCCUCUAACCGCCGCCAGCGGGAACCCUCACCGGACUUUUAGUACACUACGUUUCCCAUCACCCUGUACCUGGGUCGCCCACUUCCGGUUCUGGGUCGGCCGGGUUCACUUCCCGCCGGCGGCCAUUUUAGGUCAUUUUGUUUAGUCAUGCUAGCAAUCCUGAGCGUUCUUUUCACGGACUGCCUUCUCAUUGCCAACUGGACUGUUUAUUGUGUGUGUGAACCUUUGCUGCCUGCCUUUUGUCGACCUACGUCUGUUUAUCGGAUUAACCCCUUUGAUCGCCGCCUGCCCCGACCUUUUGCACGGACUCUCGUUACCCCUUUUGGUUUGUCUUCACCACACCAGUCUGCAGUUGUUGAACCACGCCUGUUUACUUUGUCUUCUUUAAUAAAGUUGCUGCAAAUGGAUCCGACGUCUCCGGAUGCGUCUAUGACUUCAUUACACACACAGCCGUAAACCAGUCAAAGUGCCCAUGAUAACCCCUGUCCAAAACCCACAAUGGGCACAAAACUGAACCAUGUUUUCACAACAAAAAACAAGACAAAAUUUAGAGCUUGAGCAUCUGAAUGUUGGACAGGAACACCACACUUCAAACACACACAACACACCUUGUGAGCAUCCAGAAUAGAUGAUGUGGAGCUUCAACAGUAGUUUUUCAGUUUUUCCGCAAUUUCAGUUGCGAUCAGGGAAAUAUACCAAUGUGACGAGAAAAAAACAUGAUCAAAUAUCAAACAUGCUGAAGAAUUUGGUUUUGAAAUUAGAAUUGGGUUUAACAAAAGAGGGAUAAACCUAGUGGGCAUCGUGGCAAGUACGACACAAGAAAUAAAUUUUGAAAGGAAUUGAAAACUGUGCGGGUAAUUAAUCAGAGUGAUUAGGCACUCUGCCUGGCCAACUUUAGGUUAUAGGUCGGAUCUGUCCGACAGAGAACUUAGGCGCCAACAUAGGGACCCACAGGGAGAGAGAGCCAUUACGGGGAAAUCUCAGAGCAAGCUCGCCAAAUAUGAUACACCAGUAUUUUAUCAAAUGAAAAAAUUGUAUGGCCAAAAAUGCAUGCAAGAUAUAGACAAGUUGGUAAAAUACCAUGAUUUUCCGGAAGAGGGUACACUGAGUGUUACAAGAUUGAAGGUAGUAAAGGAGUCAGUUGAGGAAGGGAGUAAGAAACAGGAAGGGUGUUGUGUGAAGCAUAUGUGUUAGAAAUGUGAACAGACAGUGGAUUUUUGGAUAAGGGAGGCGGAUAAGAGAGAAAGGAGGGCGAUGCAGAAAGAAUUGGCACAUAGAGAUGAAAAAGAGAAGAAAAAUGAGGAAUGUGAAGAAAAAG